rnacentral:rRNA from 1 species
GACGAACGCUGGCGGCGUGCCUAACACAUGCAAGUCGAGCGGGGAGACCCUUCGGGGUUUUCUAGCGGCGGACGGGUGAGUAACGCGUGAGCAACCUUUCCUUCACAGGGGGAUAACGCAGCGAAAGCUGUGCUAAUACCGCAUAAGACCACGGUGCCACAUGGCAAAGAGGUCAAAGGAGCAAUCCAGUGAAGGGUGGGCUCGCGUCUGAUUAGCUAGUUGGUGAGGUAACGGCCCACAAGGCAACGAUCAGUAGCCGACCUGAGAGGGUGAUCGGCCACACUGGGACUGAGACACGGCCCAGACUCCUACGGGAGGCAG